UAGGGAAUAUUGGGCAAUGGGCGAGAGCCUGACCCAGCCAUGCCGCGUGCAGGAAGAAGGCCUUCUGGGUUGUAAACUGCUUUUGAUCGGGAACAAAGAGGCCAUGCGUGGCAAGUUGAGUGUACCGAUAGAAUAAGCACCGGCUAACUCCGUGCCAGCAGCCGCGGUAAUACGGAGGGUGCAAGCGUUGUCCGGAUUUAUUGGGUUUAAAGGGUGCGUAGGCGGCCCUGUAAGUCAGUGGUGAAAUACUGCAGCUUAACUGUAGCAUUGCCAUUGAUACUGUAGGGCUUGAGUACAGAUGAGGUAGGCGGAAUUGAUGGUGUAGCGGUGAAAUGCAUAGAUACCAUCAAGAACACCGAUUGCGAAGGCAGCUUACUAAGCUGUAACUGACGCUGAGGCACGAAAGCGUGGGGAUCGAACAG
rnacentral:rRNA from 1 species